rnacentral:rRNA from 1 species
GAUGAACGCUGGCGGCGUGCCUAAUACAUGCAAGUCGAGCGAACGGACGAGAAGCUUGCUUCUCUGAUGUUAGCGGCGGACGGGUGAGUAACACGUGGAUAACCUACCUAUAAGACUGGGAUAACUUCGGGAAACCGGAGCUAAUACCGGAUAAUAUUUUGAACCGCAUGGUUCAAAAGUGAAAGACGGUCUUGCUGUCACUUAUAGAUGGAUCCGCGCUGCAUUAGCUAGUUGGUAAGGUAACGGCUUACCAAGGCAACGAUGCAUAGCCGACCUGAGAGGGUGAUCGGCCACACUGGAACUGAGACACGGUCCAGACUCCUACGGGAGGCAGCAGUAGGGAAUCUUCCGCAAUGGGCGAAAGCCUGACGGAGCAACGCCGCGUGAGUGAUGAAGGUCUUCGGAUCGUAAAACGCUGUUAUUAGGGAAGAACAUAUGUGUAAGUAACUGUGCACAUCUUGACGGUACCUAAUCAGAGAGCCACGGCUAACUACGU